ensembl:lncRNA CUTALP cutA divalent cation tolerance like, pseudogene
GGUGUAACUCUGCCUGUGUUUGCAUGCCACCUCCAGAACCACUAAAAUAUAAUUUCUCAGUGGGUGACUGAGUAAGACUGGCAGCAAUUGCAAAAGCAGAUUCAUGCCAUGUGUCACUCUUCACAGUCAGGAACUUAUUUACCUCUUGGAACUUUCCAAAGGAACGAUGAUGGUGGCGGGCCAUGCUGGAUAAGGAGCUGGCUGCCUCUGUGAACAUCCUACUCAAGGCAUCUUCACUGCUGUACAUCCUUUUGAAAUCCCAGAGAUCUUCAGUCUCCCUGUGGAUUAAGGAGAUGUGCAGUAUUUAAAGUGGCUUCAGGAAGGCAUGGAAGAGGACUGAGUGGGGAAAGCUUUUUGUGCAUGCUGCUGGCUACCUCCAGCGGCUGCCUCCAGCCUCCAUCAGCUGCACUCUGGGGAAGAGGAGGCUGCCUUCUACCUCCCAGCAUCUCUGGAUUUCAUGUUCCUGUCAGCACAGAGGAGCUAAAUGGCCUGUAGAGGCUGAAGGUCUGAGGCUCCUAAAGCUGGAAGAAAAGGCUGGGCCAGUCAGGCCAAGCAAGAACACAGUGUAACUUGUCUCUGAGUGCUUCAUGGUUAAGGGGGCUAAGCAGGCACAAGGGCAUGAGGAUGGUUAUAUGUACAGACUGAGGGGAAGAAGCAGUGAAGAUGAGACUUGCCAUCUUCUUGAGUCAGUAGGCCUGCCUCAGGUGCCUAGGAUGUAA